AUGCUCCUGGUCCUCAUCUCGUUCCUCGGGAUACAUUUCUUCCUGGAUGUCCAAACACAGACAGUUUCCCAGUCUGAUGCCCAUGUCACUGUCUUCGAAGGAGACUCGGUGGAGCUGAGAUGCAACUAUUCCUAUGGUGGAUCCAUUUACCUCUCCUGGUACAUCCAACAUCAUGGCCGUGGCCUCCAGUUUCUCCUCAAGUACUAUUCGGGAAACCCAGUGGUUCAAGGAGUGAACGGCUUCGAGGCUGAGUUCAGCAAGAGUGACUCUUCCUUCCACCUGCGGAAAGCCUCCGUGCACUGGAGCGACUCAGCUGUGUGUACUUCUGUGCUGUGAGCG